rnacentral:rRNA from 1 species
CUACGGGGUGCAGCAGUGGGGAAUAUUGGACAAUGGGCGAAAGCCUGAUCCAGCCAUGCCGCGUGUGUGAAGAAGGCCUUCGGGUUGUAAAGCACUUUCAGUGGGGAAGAAAGCCUUGGGGCUAAUACCCUCGAGGAAGGACAUCACCCACAGAAGAAGCACCGGCUAACUCCGUGCCAGCAGCCGCGGUAAUACGGAGGGUGCGAGCGUUAAUCGGAAUUACUGGGCGUAAAGCGCGCGUAGGCGGUCUGAUAAGCCGGUUGUGAAAGCCCCGGGCUCAACCUGGGAACGGCAUCCGGAACUGUCAGGCUAGAGUGCAGGAGAGGAAGGUAGAAUUCCCGGUGUAGCGGUGAAAUGCGUAGAGAUCGGGAGGAAUACCAGUGGCGAAGGCGGCCUUCUGGACUGACACUGACGCUGAGGUGCGAAAGCGUGGGUAGCAAACAGGAUUAGAUACCCCGGUAGUC